UACGGAAGGCAGCAGUGGGGAAUAUUGCACAAUGGGCGCAAGCCUGAUGCAGCCAUGCCGCGUGUAUGAAGAAGGCCUUCGGAUUGUAAAGUACUUUCAGUCGUGAGGAAGGUGUUAAGGUUAAUAACCUUAGCAAUUGACGUUAGCGACAGAAGAAGCACCGGCUAACUCCGUGCCAGCAGCCGCGGUAAUACGGAGGGUGCGAGCGUUAAUCGGAAUUACUGGGCGUAAAGGGCACGCAGGCGGUUAAUUAAGUUGGAUGUGAAAUCCCCGGGCUUAACCUGGGAAUGGCAUUCAAGACUGGUUAGCUAGAGUCUUGUAGAGGGGGUAGAAUUCCAUGUGUAGCGGUGAAAUGCGUAGAGAUGUGGAGGAAUACCGGUGGCGAAGGCGGCCCCUGGGACAAAGGACUGACGCUCAUGUGCGAAAGCGUGGGGAGCAAACAGGGAUUAGAUACC
rnacentral:rRNA from 1 species